UAACGCGUGGGAAUCUGCCUAUCAGUGGGGAAUAACGACGGGAAACUGUCGCUAAUACCGCAUACGCCCUUAGGGGGAAAGAUUUAUCGCUGAUAGAUGAGCCCGCGUACGAUUAGCUAGUUGGUGAGGUAAUGGCUCACCAAGGCUACGAUCGUUAGCUGGUCUGAGAGGAUGAUCAGCCCCACUGGGACUGAGACACGGCCCAGGCUCCUACGGGAGGCAGCAGUGGGGAAUAUUGGACAAUGGGCGAAACCCUGAUCCAGCAAUGCCGCGUGAGUGAUGAAGGCCUUAGGGUUGU
rnacentral:rRNA from 1 species